rnacentral:rRNA from 1 species
UACGGGGGGGUGCGAGCGUUGUCCGGAAUCACUGGGCGUAAAGGGCGCGUAGGUGGCGUGAUAAGGGUGUGGUGAAAGCCCGGGGCUCAACCCCGGGUCGGCCAUGCCGACUGUCAGGCUCGAGUGCUGUAGGGGCAGGCGGAAUUCCGGGUGUAGCGGUGGAAUGCGUAGAGAUCCGGAAGAACACCGGUGGCGAAGGCGGCCUGCUGGGCAGUUGCUGACACUGAGGCGCGACAGCGUGGGGGAGCAAACAGG